GCAGUCAGAGGCGAUGAAGGGCGUGCUAAUCUGCGAUAAGCGCCGGUAAGGUGAUAUGAACCGUUAUAACCGGCGAUACCCGAAUGGGGAAACCCAGUGUGACUCGUCACACUAUCAUUAACUGAAUCCAUAGGUUAAUGAGGCGAACCGGGGGAACUGAAACAUCUAAGUACCCCGAGGAAAAGAAAUCAACCGAGAUUCCCCCAGUAGCGGCGAGCGAACGGGGAGGAGCCCAGAGCCUGAAUCAGCAUGUGUGUUAGUGGAAGCGUCUGGAAAGGCGCGCGAUACAGGGUGACAGCCCCGUACACAAAAGCGCAUGUGCUGUGAGCUCGAUGAGUAGGGCGGGACACGUGGUAUCCUGUCUGAAUAUGGGGGGACCAUCCUCCAAGGCUAAAUACUCCUGACUGACCGAUAGUGAACCAGUACCGUGAGGGAAAGGCGAAAAGAACCCCGGCGAGGGGAGUGAAAAAGAACCUGAAACCGUGUACGUACAAGCAGUGGGAGCACCCUUUGGGUGUGACUGCGUACCUUUUGUAUAAUGGGUCAGCG
rnacentral:rRNA from 1 species